rnacentral:rRNA from 1 species
GAUGAACGCUGGCGGCGUGCCUAACACAUGCAAGUCGAACGGUUAAGGCGGCUUCGGCCGCGAAUAAAGUGGCGAACGGGUGAGUAGCGCGUGACCGACCUUCCCCUCGCACCGGGACAACCGCGGGAAACCGCGGCCGAUACCGGGUACUCCGGGGCCCUCGCAUGGGGGCCCCGGGAAAGCUCCGGCGGCGGGGGAUGGGGUCGCGUCCCAUCAGGUAGUAGGCGGGGCAACGGCCCACCUAGCAGACGACGGGUAGCCGGGUUGAGAGACCGAGCGGCCACAUUGGGACUGAGAUACGGCCCAGACCCCGACGGGAGGCAGCAGUGGGGAAUUUUGGACAAUGGGCGCAAGCCUGAUCCAGCCAUGCCGCGUGAGUGAAGAAGGCCGUCGGGUUGUAAAGCUCUUUCGGCGGGGACGAAACGGUCCGUGACAACACCACGGACUAAUGACGGUACUCGCAGAAGAAGCACCGGCUAACUACGUGCCAGCCGCCGCAGUAA